rnacentral:ncRNA from 2 species
ACCAAUGUUGGGAAUGAGGUUCUCCCUUAGUCUUUAGGACUUAAACCGCGUGUACGCUGAUGACUUCUGUGAUAUC